rnacentral:rRNA from 1 species
GCGAGUGAAGAGGGAAAAGCUCAAAUUUAAAAUCUGGCAGCAUUUUGCUGUCCGAGUUGUAACCUAGAGAAGUGUAACCUGUGCUGGACCGUGUAUAAGUUUCCUGGAAUGGAGCAUCACAGAGGGUGAGAAUCCCGUCUUUGACAUGGACUACCAGUGCAUUGUGGUUGUGCUCUCAACGAGUCGAGUUGUUUGGGAAUGCAGCUCUAAAUGGGUGGUAAAUUCCAUCUAAAGCUAAAUAUUGGCGAGAGACCGAUAGCGAACAAGUACCGUGAGGGAAAGAUGAAAAGAACUUUGGAAAGAGAGUUAAACAGUAUGUGAAAUUGUUGAAAGGGAAACGUUUGAAGUCAGUCGCGUUAGCUGGGGAUCAGCCUGACAUUGUUGGGUGCACUUCCUGGUUGACGGGCCAACAUCAGUUUUGACUGCCAGAAAAAGGCCAAGGGAAUGUGGCACCUUUGGGUGUGUUAUAGCCUUUGGUCAUAUAUGGUGGUUGGGACUGAGGAACGCAGUGUGCCGAAAGGCCGGGUUUCGACCACGUUCACACUGAGGAUG